rnacentral:rRNA from 1 species
AUGAAGGAAGGACAGAAUAGCCAGUCGGCGCAGCCGAUCGGGGAAGCCCUCGGGUAUAACCCGGUGGAACAAGAGGAUGUUGCAGGCAGGGAGGAGGAGGAAGAAGGUAGAUGGGAUCACUUUGGUCCAGAUCCCGAUCUCGAGGACUUGUUCGACGGGAUGAACUUGCACGGGGAGGAAGAAGAAGAUCUAGACUUAUCAGGAGAAGUGGACGAGUUGAUCAAUGAAGUGAGAUGGCUGGCCUUGUUUAGGGUUCAUACUAUGCGGCAGUUUAGUCAUGUUGCGCUGCUGAACUCUAUGAGGAAUGCGUGGUCUUGUGCUCAAGGAGUUACUUUCAACAUCAAAGGGCCAAACCUUUUCUUGGCCCAAUGUCACUGUUUGGGUGAUUGGAAGCGUGUGAUGGAGGGAGGACCAUGGCAGUUUUGCCGGGACCCGGUGGUAUUAGUUGAGUAUGAUGGAUUCACCAAUGUUGCUGAUUAUGCGUUGAACAUGUAUCCACUUUGGGCUAGAGUAAAAGGAUUGCCGGAUGGCCUCACCAGGAAGAAAGAACUUGCUGAAAAGGUAGCAAAGAAGGUGGGUGAUCCACCGUUUACGGUUAUGGUUAAUGAGGGGAAGAUUAACCCCUCGAAUUAUCUGAGGGUGAGGGUGUAUGUUAACGUGAACAAUCCCCUGGUUCGUUUUGUACGGAUCACUCUAAAGGAGAUGAAGAAGUAUCCAGUUAGCUAUGAGAAACUGCCCGAUUUUUGCUUCUUUUGUGGUUGUAUGGGACACGUAGUGGAGGAGUGUGGGGAUGGCAUACAUAGCACGGAGACUUGUGAAUGGGGGGACUGGCUUCACUGGAGUAAUGAACUUGUUGGGAGUGGUGCUAGAGGAGGCAGGGGAGGAGGAAGGUCGUCCGCAGCAGGAAGAGAAGGGCUACUGGGGGUUCAGAUGGAGUUGGUAGGAAGGAAGAUAGAGGAGGCAUAA